rnacentral:rRNA from 1 species
GUGGUGCAUGGCUGUCGUCAGCUCGUGUCGUGAGAUGUUGGGUUAAGUCCCGCAACGAGCGUAACCCUUGUUUUUAGUUGCCUUUCGAGGAUAUUUAGAAAGACUGCCGAUUAUAAAUCGGAGGAAGGUAAGGACGACGUCAAGUCAUCAUGCCCCUUACACUCUGGGCUACACACGUGCUACAUUGGGUAGAACAAUAAGUUGCUAAGUUGCGAAACCAAGCGAAUCUUCAAAUCUACUCUAAGUUCGGAUUGUAGGCUGCAACUCGCCUACAUAAAGAUGGAAUCGCUAGUAAUCGCUGGUCAGC